CGCUAGUAAUCGUAUAUCAGCAAUGAUACGGUGAAUACGUUCCCGGACCUUGUACACACCGCCCGUCAAGCCAUGGAAGUCGGGAGGACCUGAAGCCAGUUGCUGUAAGGCGCUGUUUAGGGUAAAACCGAUGACUGGGGCUAAGUCGUAACAAGGUAGCCGUACCGGAAGGUGCGGCUGGAACACCUCCUUUCUGGAGCUUA
rnacentral:rRNA from 1 species